rnacentral:ncRNA from 1 species
CGACGGCAGGGAGGCUGGGAUCGAGGGGAUCCCGCCGGCGCGGCGCCGAGACACGGUCGCCAUUCGUCACGCUGGGCCAAUGGCGAGACCGACCCUAUCUGCG